rnacentral:rRNA from 1 species
CCCUAUUAUGUUAAGAGUAGUAAAUGAUAAGAUCAGGAAACUUAAAGAAUUUGGCGGUGUUUAUUCUAACUAGGGGAAUAUGUUUUGAUAAAUCGAUAAUCCACGUGUAGUUUACUUAAUUUAAUUUAUUUUGUAUAUCUCCGUCUUAAAGAAUUUUUUAAAAAUAUAUUUUUUAUAUUAAAAAUUAAAAUAAGUCAGGUCAAGGUGCAAACUAUAUUUAAGAUAAAAUGUAUUACAAUAAAAUUAUUUUUGGAUUUAAUUUUUUAUAAAAUUAAUGAAAAUGGACUUAUAAGUAAAUCAAUUUAUAUAAUAAUUGGUUGAAUGGUGUUAAUAAAUAUGUACACAUC